UUUGUGGAGAGUUUGAUCCUGGCUCAGGACGAACGCUGGCGGCGUGCUUAACACAUGCAAGUCGAACGGAAAGGCCAGUGCUUGCACUGGUACUCGAGUGGCGAACGGGUGAGUAACACGUGGGU
rnacentral:rRNA from 1 species